UACGAAGGGGGCUAGCGUUGCUCGGAAUCACUGGGCGUAAAGCGCACGUAGGCGGAUCUUUAAGUCAGGGGUGAAAUCCCAAGGCUCAACCUUGGAACUGCCUUUGAUACUGGGGGAUCUCGAGUCCGGAAGAGGUUGGUGGAACUGCGAGUGUAGAGGUGAAAUUCGUAGAUAUUCGCAAGAACACCAGUGGCGAAGGCGGCCAACUGGUCCGGAACUGACGCUGAGGUGCGAAAGCGUGGGGAGCAAACAGG
rnacentral:rRNA from 1 species